UUUUCGUAUAACUCACAUGAGUUGUAAUUUUAAUUAAAACCAAACAGGGAUAAGUAACAUUCACAAUUAAUAUCAAAUUUAAAUCUACAUAUUUUCUUAUAACUCACAACUUCUAAUCAAUUUCAAGCACAUUGGUCGUUGUACUGAGGACCCAUUUGACAAUACUUGUAAAAAAGGAAAAAAAAAAAAAACCUUUUUGAAGAAGUUAUUUUAAAAUUCAAUUUUUGAUUUUAAAUGAACCUCGAGCUUGAAUAAUGUAUUAACCACGUGAAACUUUAAAAAAAAAAAAUGUCAAAGGAAGACUGACCAAUAUUAAGUGGAUGGGGCCAUGAACGGAACAAGUGGACAUGAUUACAGGUCUGCGGCAGGAGGAGAGAGGUAGGCACCGAUAACUGUCCGAUGACUCCGAUUCCAUGGCGCACAUGGUGGGAACUCAUACAAGAUUGAAAUGACAUAAAUGUCCUUGCAACAGAACUAAAGAAAUAUCAAUUUCGCAAAAUUUUGGCGAUGGUCAUCGAGUUAUUGUCAACUUGCAAAUUCUUCUUUAACCUUCUGUUUCUAUGUGCAUCUCACACUCUAAAGACUUGCAUUGACCACUUCUCCAUCCAAAAAUUUCCUAGGUUGUCUUUUUUUCUUUUUUAAAUUCUUCAUGUACUGGCUGCAUUAAAAAGUUAAAUUUAUCCUCCGUUUGACUAAUUGUUUCUAGGUUUUUACUACUCAAUUCUCAACCACUCAUUUAUCCUUGUUUAUAAAAACCUUACCAGAUAUUAUCCUUAUCGAGGAUUCAAAAUAAGAGUGAAAAUUAUGCCCCCGUCUAUGAAUGAUUAAAAUUAAAUUUUUUAGUAGAUUUUAAUAAAAGUUGAUGCG
rnacentral:lncRNA from 1 species